CAUCAAGGAACGCCACUGACUGUUGCC
rnacentral:piRNA from 1 species